GUGGGGAAUAUUCCGCAAUGGACGAAAGUCUGACGGAGCAACGCCGCGUGAGUGAUGAAGGUUUUCGGACUGUAAAGCUCUGUUGUUUAGGACGAAAGUGCCUGUUGCAAAUAGUUACAGGUAUUGACGGUACUGAACGAGGAAGCCACGGCUAACUACGUGCCAGCAGCCGCGGUAAUACGUAGGUGGCAAGCGUUGUCCGGAAUUAUUGGGCGUAAAGAGCAUGUAGGCGGGAAUCUAAGUCUGUUGUGAAAAUGCGGGGCUCAACCCCGUAUUGCGAUGGAAACUGGGUUUCUUGAGUGCAGGAGAGGAAAGGGGAAUUCCCAGUGUAGCGGUGAAAUGCGUAGAUAUUGGGAGGAACACCAGUGGCGAAGGCGCCUUUCUGGACUGUGUCUGACGCUGAGAUGCGAAAGCUAGGGCAGCGAACGGGAUUAGAUACCCCGGUAGUCC
rnacentral:rRNA from 1 species